rnacentral:rRNA from 1 species
AGUGAACGCUGGCGGUAGGCCUAACACAUGCAAGUCGAACGGCAGCACAGUAAGAGCUUGCUCUUACGGGUGGCGAGUGGCGGACGGGUGAGGAAUACAUUGGAAUCUACUUUUUCGUGGGGGAUAACGUAGGGAAACUUACGCUAAUACCGCAUACGACCUACGGGUGAAAGCAGGGGAUCUUCGGACCUUGCGCGAUUGAAUGAGCCGAUGUCGGAUUAGCUAGUUGGCGGGGUAAAGGCCCACCAAGGCGACGAUCCGUAGCUGGUCUGAGAGGAUGAUCAGCCACACUGGAACUGAGACACGGUCCAGACUCCUACGGGAGGCAGCAGUGGGGAAUAUUGGACAAUGGGCGCAAGCCUGAUCCAGCCAUACCGCGUGGGUGAAGAAGGCCUUCGGGUUGUAAAGCCCUUUUGUUGGGAAAGAAAAGCAGCAGGUUAAUACCCCGCCGUUCUGACGGUACCCAAAGAAUAAGCACCGGCUAACUUCGUG